UACGAAGGGGGCUAGCGUUGUUCGGAAUUACUGGGCGUAAAGCGCACGUAGGCGGAUAUUUAAGUCAGGGGUGAAAUCCCAGAGCUCAACUCUGGAACUGCCUUUGAUACUGGGUAUCUUGAGUAUGGAAGAGGUAAGUGGAAUUGCGAGUGUAGAGGUGAAAUUCGUAGAUAUUCGCAGGAACACCGGUGGCGAAGGCGGUCCACUGGCUCGGUACUGACGCGUGAGGUGCGA
rnacentral:rRNA from 1 species